GAACCCAAAAAUCACUAAUCUACUAAUAUGUGCCAAGAUCGUGUCACAAGCAUGAUAGAACUAGUAGAAUAUACAAAAGAUGUCUAACCUACUGCCUGAGAUAACAUAGAUAGAUACAAAAUAAAAGAGAGACUUCGACAUACUGCUGAAUGACUCAAAAGGGCAGUUCACUGUGAAAUCUCGAACCCGAAUCAAGUAUGCAUGCCGAACGGGUAACUAGAUGCACCUGCCUCAGAUCCUGUAAAAUUAAGUAUAGAAGCGUAGUAUGAGUACAUAAACAACAUGUAUCCAACAUGUAUCCAGGCUAACCUCGAAGAAGUAGUGAUAAGGAAUCAACUGUAACACUUACUAUGGGCUAAAAAUAAUAUAUUUAAAAUAUUACACUAAGCAUGAGUUUCUUGAAUAAUACUGAAAGCUCAAUAACAAGAAGUAAUGAUUUCUUCUUUCACAAAUAUUAAUUCCAAGUUCACUUUUAUCAUUUAACAACUUACAUUUCAAGAAAUUUUGGGAAUAUCAAUUAAGGAGAGUUCCAUAGAGUUAUCAUGCGCAAAUUGUGUCAAGGUCGUAUGGUCCGAUAAAACAUAAUAUUUAUACUAUGCACGCCUGUGGGUCAAACGGUUCGAUUAUAUGCUACCGAGGCGCUCAAACUAGGGUUUUCUAGUUUCUUAUACUUUGCUUCGAGGGGUCAGAAACUCACCCGAGCAACUCGGGACCCCAUCCAAAGUCACCAACAAGUGAGUAAACAUGACACAGAUCUUCUCGAACUCUCAAAAUGCGAAAAGCAACAACGAAACCAAGAAUCACACCCCAAAACCAAAUUUAAUCAAACUUUGAACUUCAAGUUCUUCAAUUCGCAUCCAAUGCACCGAAACGUACUUAAACUAUUCGGAAUGACACCAAAUUUUGCGUGCAAGUCUUCAAUGACAUUAUGGAACUAUUCCAGGUCUUGGAAUUCCAUUUGGACCUCGAUGUCAUCAAAACCCGCUUCAAGCAAAAUUUAAAGAACUUCUAAAACUUUUAAGAACCAGAUUUCACUAUUAGGCACCAAAAUGCUCCUGAGUCAUUCGAAGCACGAUCCAAACAAACGCCAAAGUCCGAAAUCAUCAAUCAAGCCUAUUGGAACCAUCAACUCCCAAUUUCGAGGUUGUUUACUCAAAAUUUUGACCGAAGUCAAACUUGGCAUUUUAAGCCAGUCUUAAGUAAAGUGUUCCAAUGUUAACCCAAAGUCUUCCAAAUCCCGAACUAACCACCCCUGCAUGUCAUACAUCAAUAAAAGCAUGCACCAAAAGUCUCAUUUAGGGGAAUGAGAUUCUAGAAAGCAAAACGACUGGUCGGUUCAUUACAGUAGUCCCCGCAAAUAGAAGCACAUAUUAAUUUAGUCCACAUAUAUGGUUAGUUCUCCCUUUACAAGGUUAGAAAAGAGACUUACCUCGCUCCAGAGUUCCAUUGCUGGCUCCCAGGCCAUUCAAGAAACUCCAACCGAUGCCCAACACCCAAAAACUAGUCAAUAAAUGUGCAAAUCAUAAAUAUAUACUCUAAUACACAUUAUAAUUCAAUUCACAAAAAUUCCCAACUCCGCUCAAAAAGUUGAUAAAAAUUACCUUUGGACCCACGUGCCCGGAUUCUAAAAUAUUUUGAAGAUAAACUUUACCCAUAAUACUACGAACCCAAAUAUAUAAUUUAUUCCGACCCUUUUUACGCAAGUGCGAUCGCAACAGAUAUCAGCUGCCUCAGGACAUCUUCCAAGUCCAAACUUGAUCCGUUGGCCGUCCGGAAUCCACCUGAGGCCCUCGAGACCUCAACCUAUUAUACCAACACGUUCUAAGGCACAAUAUGGACUUAGUCAAGCCUGCAAAUCACAUCAAACAGUGCUAUAAUCAUGAAUCACGCCUCGAUUCAAGUUUAAUGAAAUUUGGAACUUAAAACUUCUAUAUUCGAUGUCGAAACCUAUCAAAUCACAUCCGAUUGACCUCAAAUUUUGUACACAAGUCACAUUUGACAUUAAAUACCUACUCAAACUUCUAAAAUAUAAAUCAAGCCCCGAUAUAAAAAAUUACACUUCCGGUAUUUUUCAAAAACCUUUAAAUUUCCUACUUUCACCAAUUGACCCCAAAAUAACCUACAUACCACCGAAUCCAGUUCUGGACAUUCUCAUAACGCCACAAUCACCAUAUGGAGAUAUUCCCAGACACAAAAUCCCAAAACGGACAUCGAUAGCAUUGUAAUGCACUUCAACCCAAAUCCAUUAAAUUCUUCUAAAAUGACAACUUCCACAAUAGGCGCCGAAACGCUUCCGAUCAUUCAAUAUCCGAUCUGAACAUACGACCAAGUACAAAAUAUUCAUAAGAACCUGUUGAUACCUUUCAAAUUCAGAUCCCGAUGUCGUUUACUCAAAUAUCAAACUUUGGUCAAUUCUUCCAACUUUAAGCUUUCAAAAUAAAAAGUUACUUUCCAGAUCAACUCUGAACUUCUCGAUAUUCAAUCCCGACCACGCGUACAAGUCAUAAUACCUAAAGUAAAGCUGUUCAUGGCAUCAAACAACCGAACGAUGCGCUAGAGCUCAAAACGGCCGGUCGAAUCGUUACAAAGAUGAACUCAAAUAAAAAUUCUUGUCAAACUAAAAUAAUAGUACAAACUAUGUACAUUGGAUUAGAUAUUUUAUUUUUAACAUAUAAAAUUCUAGGCGAGGUCCACAUCAAAAAUAUUAUAAGUAUUUUAUUUAGGAAUUGAAAAUGUUGCUAUUCUGAUUGCAUUAAGAGAUAGUUUCGGUCGUUGCAUUGAGAAUUUAAAGGCACCCUUUAAAUUCAAAAGAAUUAAUAAUUAGGACAAAAAGAUGAGCAAACCCAAGAAAAACUACACUACAAAGAUGCAAGUUUAAUUUAUAAAAAUGUUAAUAAAAUUUCAAGAAGAAAAAAGUUAUGUCAUGAUAAUUUUUUUACAAGAAUUUUUAACAAAUAAUAAAAUAGGAACACUCAAAGCAAUUACACAAUCACACAAACGUGUACACUUUCUAGAAAAGUUCUCAAGGGAUCUUCAUCCUAGUAUUACAACCUUGUAAAAUUUAAUGCAGAAAUCCAAGUCAAAUAGAUAUAUAUAAGGAGAAUAAAAAACCUUCAAAUAUAGAGAUACAAAUAUAACUGGGAAGAGAGAAGCACCGAUUUAAAGAUGAUUGAAUAAGAAAAUGGGUAAGCCUGAGGAUGAGGGGGUGGCGGCUGAGAGGGAGAGGAGGUGAGGUUGAGCUUAGGUUUUGGUUUGCUU
rnacentral:lncRNA from 1 species